rnacentral:rRNA from 1 species
GACGAAGGUGGCGAGCGUUACUCGGAAUUACUAGGCGUAAAGCGUGCGCAGGCGGUUUUGUAAGCCAGAUGUGAAAUCCCCGGGCUUAACCUGGGAAUGGCAUUUGGGACUGCAAGGCUGGAGUGUGGCAGAGGAGACUGGAAUUCCCGGUGUAGCAGUGAAAUGCGUAGAGAUGUGGAGGAACACCGAUGGCGAAGGCAGCCCCCUGGGUCAAAACUGACGCUCAUGCACGAAAGCGUGGGGAGCAAACAGG